AAAACGACUCUCGACAACGGAUAUCUCGGCUCUCGCAUCGAUGAAGAACGUAGCGAAAUGCGAUACUUGGUGUGAAUUGCAGAAUCCCGUGAACCAUCGAGUCUUUGAACGCAAGUUGCGCCCCAAGCCUUUAGGCCGAGGGCACGUCUGCCUGGGUGUCACAC
rnacentral:rRNA from 1 species